rnacentral:rRNA from 1 species
ACGGGAGGCAGCAGUGGGGGAUAUUGCACAAUGGGGGAAACCCUGAUGCAGCGACGCCGCGUGAGUGAAGAAGUAUUUCGGUAUGUAAAGCUCUAUCAGCAGGGAAGAAAGGCCCUUAGGGGAGAUGACGGUACCUGACUAAGAAGCCCCGGCUAAAUACGUGCCAGCAGCCGCGGUAAUACGUAUGGUGCAAGCGUUAUCCGGAUUUACUGGGUGUAAAGGGAGCGUAGGCGGCAUGGCAAGUCAGAUGUGAAAGCCCGGGGCCCAACCCCGGAACUGCAUUUGAAACUGUCGAGCUAGAGUGCCGGAGAGGUAAGCGGAAUUCCUAGUGUAGCGGUGAAAUGCGUAGAUAUUAGGAGGAACACCAGUGGCGAAGGCGGCUUACUGGACGGUAACUGACGCUGAGGCUCGAAAGCGUGGGGAGCAAACAGGAUUAGAUACCCUGGUA